rnacentral:misc_RNA from 1 species
AAGUCGUAACAAGGUUUCCGUAGGUGAACCUGCGGAAGGAUCAUUACCGAUUUGAGCGAGCCUGGUCUCUUGACCAUGGUUUCGCGAAAACUUUGUAUUUAAAACCCCACUCUUGUUAAUUAUAAAAUAUAAAUGCUUAUAUUAUGACAAUAAAAUAAAGAUCACUUUCAACAACGGAUCUCUUGGCUCUC